UACGAAGGGGGCGAGCGUUGUUCGGAUUUACUGGGCGUAAAGGGCGCGUAGGCGGCGGGUCAAGUCGAGUGUGAAAGCCCCGGGCUCAACCUGGGAAUGGCAUUUGGGACUGCAAGGCUGGAGUUUGGCAGAGGAGACUGGAAUUCCUGGUGUAGCAGUGAAAUGCGUAGAUAUCAGGAGGAAUACCGAUGGCGAAGGCAGGUCUCUGGGCUAUAACUGACGCUGAGGAGCGAAAGCAUGGGUAGCAAACAGG
rnacentral:rRNA from 1 species